CACUGCUAUUGCACAAGUAUUGGGUUGACAAGAAGUCCAACAAGUGCUUUAUGGUGUAUGCAAGGGAUCUCUCGAUCUCUUGGGCUGAAGACGAUCGUAACUGGCUCUGGCCCUCCCUGCAAGAAACCAGUGGUGUCGUCAUUGAUGCUGCUGAACUGAUUAAUGAAUGUUGGCUAGAAGUGCAUGGAAAAUUUAAAACUACAAAGCUGUCACCAGGAACUCUGUCUGAAGUUGUGUUUGUGGUCAAGCUGAAAUCUUCAGCUGAUGGAUGGGAUGUUCCAGUGAAUGUCAGUCUCACUCUUCCAUGGUAGCAAACAAUGGCAUGAAGUUAAUUUGAUGGAAAUCCCAAGAGAGCAAUGGAUAGAGAUUUCGGUUGGCUAGUUUAGAGCAUCACCUGAAAAACCUGGGGACAUGGAGUUUUCGAUGUAUAAAUAUGAUAGUGGGAAAUGGAAGGGAGGACUUGUUAUCAAGGGUGUUACCAUUCGGCCUAAAAACUAAGUUGCAGAAUACUCUUAACAACUUUGCUUAGGAGCAGAGAUAUGAUUUUCUGGGUUUUUCAUAUGAAGACAGAAAUGAGAGAUGCAUAUGUAAGAAAUGAUCAGAACAGAAUAAUGAAACAAUGAUACAACUCACAUUUUUGCUUUCUCA